rnacentral:rRNA from 36 species
CCUGCCGGAGGCCAUUGCUAUUGGGAUCCGAUUUAGCCAUGCUAGUCGCACGAGUUCAGACUCGUGGCGAAUAGCUCAGUAACACGUGGCCAAACUACCCUUCGGAACACAAUACCCUCGGGAAACUGAGGCUAAUAGUGUAUACCAUACCACCACUGGAAUGAGUGGUAUGCCAAACGCUCCGGCGCCGAAGGAUGUGGCUGCGGCCGAUUAGGUAGACGGUGGGGUAACGGCCCACCGUGCCAAUAAUCGGUAUGGGUCAUGAGAGUGAGAACCCAGAGACGGAAUCUGAGACAAGAUUCCGGGCCCUACGGGGCGCA